ACCAGGAGAUGCAGCAUUUCAUCGGAGGUUGUUCCUUUCCUGCCUUUCCAGCAAGAGCACUCACCUCCUGCAGCCAGUCUGGACACAAAAUGGUGGCCAAAAACAAUGGGUGGAAAGCCAAAGUAUAGGAUAAUACAGUUACAGCCUAUCACUCAUGGAGAGUGUACAGCAGCACUCAGGACAGACAAAACCCCCUGUGGAGGAAACCUGCGAGGAACCAUGGCUGCUGUACUGCCCUUCCUCUGGGUAUACUAAAGGGACUAAUAUCACAGGUGGCCCGAUCCACCACGGCUCUGAAGUCCAUCCUCCUCAGCAAGCUGUCUCUUCUCUGAUGCAGGCGAUUCAUCUUUGUCCUCCAUGUCCAGCCGAGGGCCCAGGGGUAGAUCUCUCUUCUGAAAGCUUCAUCCUCUUCUACCUGGUUUGCCAAGAACCUGGAACAGCACAUGGACAGUUAGGGCUUGGAGAUCCAGAUGAUGAGCUGGGAGGGGAAAGAGAAAUCACAGUUUAGUAGAAGCUACAGAAUGACGUGUCGCAGUACAGAUCUGUUAUGUGUUACUGUUUUCUGCACAAUGUGUGAUUAUUAUAUAAUAUCUAUGCAGAGA